rnacentral:rRNA from 1 species
GACGAACGCUGGCGGCGUGCUUAACACAUGCAAGUCGAACGGUAAGGCCCUUCCUUUGUUAGAUGCUCGGCUGACGAACGAGUAAGUCACAGGUGACUUACCUGCCCUUGACUGUGGGAUAACUUAAAGUAGCUGGGACUACGGCCGGGAAGGAGCGCCUCCUGGAUGGUGGUGGAUGGAUUGUUUGGGCGGUUGGGGAUGGACGCCCGGCUUAUCAGCUGGUUGGUGGGGUGGUGGCUUACCAAGGCUGUGACGGGUAGCCGGCCUGAGAGGGUGACCGGCGACACUGGGACUGAGACACGGCCCAGACUCCUACGGGAGGCAGCAGUGGGGAAUAUUGCGCAAUGGGCGGAAGCCUGAUGCAGCAACGCCGCGUGCGGGAUGACGGCCUUCGGGUUGUAAACCGCUUUCGCCUGUGACGAAGCGUGAGUGACGGUAAUGGGAGAAGAAGCACCGGCUAACUACGUG